ensembl:lncRNA
AUGAUUUGUAUUUAAACGUAAAAGAACAGAAGAUCAGUCGAAUUUUUGAUGUGAUUGGUAACCGACAUUCUGACAUGUCAGUUUUGCGUGGACUGUAUGCUUUGAGCCAGAGGCAACUUCAACCACAAGAGACUUUUUAGACCUGCUUUCGCUUAGCUGUGGAGUUGAACACCAUGGUGCAUUACUAACUCUGUUUAAUAGUUUUGGCUGUAACAAUCCUUAAGAGUGCUGUGUUAUCCAAAAAAAAAAAAAAAAAAAAAACCUAGCCAAUUGUUUUCCGUUCAUUUAUGCAACUCCUUUGUUGGGCCAGAGCCAACUGCACCGAUUAACACAGGGCAGUCCUUAACAUAGAAAACUGUCUCCUGCAGUCCUCUACUUUGAAUUUUCCUGCUUUGUGCAUUACUAGUUUCGAUCCGUGCUUCUGAAAUGAAAAUACGCCUUGUCUUCACAGGCAGGGCCUACGUGAAAACCAGAUAGGAGCCAAACAAGAUUAUGAAAUAGAGUAAUUCAGGGCAGUGAUGUAUAAUUUUUCAUCUUUUUGUUUCAAUGAAAAACACAUCUAUGGAAUAUAAUUUCAUAAACACACCCAGAAGUAAACUUCUAAGUGCCUUUGGUGGGCUUGUUUCCUGUGGUACUAAAUGCAUUUAUUUCUUCAGAUUUUACAAAGAAAUCAUUUCUUUUUUUGUAGCUUCUUUCAGCACACAUUCUGUGGAAUAAGUAUAUUCUGUGUAAGAUGGUUUAACUGCAACAUAAAUUUAUUCUAUUGGCAGAUGAUAAUCAUUACAGGAAUUAUUUAUGUAGACUAAAAGAGAUAACGCUGCUGUUAGUGUUUCCUUUAUAGGUUUACAAUACACGAUAUUGAAGCUAUUUUUACACAGAUUCCAUUUUUAGAAUAGCUUUUAACACUAAAAAUAUGUAGUUAGUAUGUGUGAUUAUUCUGCGAGAAUAAACUGAAACCAAAAUCUAAGAUGACUUUCAGGCAUCUGUAAGGAGCCCUUCAAAGGACGGGUAACUAUAGAGAUGUGACACAAGUCAAUCAGAGAUGGACAGUACUACCCGACAGCCCCAAUUUUCAUGAAAUUUUUCUCCGAGGCCUCUCAGGUGACUGGUAAGCAAUCUCCUCAUUCUUUUGUUGCUCAGAGACUUCUAGCUUCACAGAUACAGUCUUCCCGGAAAGCCAUCACAAGCCACUCAUUCUUCUACAAAAGGGAUGCAUCUUCACCCACUUUCCGCUCCACAGAAGUAAGGUUAGUCACCAGUAUUUUGGGGGCAAACAC